GAUGAACGCUGGCGGCGCGCCUAACACAUGCAAGUCGAACGGUUAAAGCAUCUUCGGAUGUGUAUAAAGUGGCGAACGGCUGAGUAACACGUGGGCAACCUGCCCUUUGCACUGGGAUAGCCUCGGGAAACCGAGGUUAAUACCGGAUACUCCAUAUUUGUCGCAUGGCGAAUAUGGGAAAGCUCCGGCGGCAAAGGAUGGGCCCGCGGCCUGUUAGCUAGUUGGUGGGGUAGUGGCCUACCAAGGCAAUGAUGGGUAGCCGGGUUGAGAGACCGACCGGCCAGAUUGGGACUGAGACACGGCCCAGACUCCUACGGGAGGCAGCAGUGGGGAAUCUUGCACAAUGGGCGAAAGCCUGAUGCAGCGACGCCGCGUGCGGGAUGAAGGCCUUCGGGUUGUAAACCGCUUUCAGCAGGGACGAGGCCGCAAGGUGACGGUACCUGCAGAAGAAGCCCCGGCUAA
rnacentral:rRNA from 2 species